GCAAGUCGUACGGUAACAGGAAAUAGCUUGCUAUUUUGCUUACGAGUGGCGCACGGGUUCGUAACGCGUAUACAAUCUACCUUUUGCUGAGGGAUAGCCCAGAGAAAUUUGGAUUAAUACCUCAUGGUAUUAUUGAUAGGCAUCUAUUAAUAAUUAAAGGUUACGUCAAGAGAUGAGUAUGCGUCCCAUUAGCUAGUUGGUGAAGUAACGGUUCACCAAGGCAACGAUGAGUAGGGGUCCCGAGAGGGAGAUC
rnacentral:rRNA from 1 species